rnacentral:rRNA from 1 species
AUUGAACGCUGGCGGCAGGCUUAACACAUGCAAGUCGAGCGGGGAAAGGUAGCUUGCUACUGGACCUAGCGGCGGACGGGUGAGUAAUGCUUAGGAAUCUGCCUAUUAGUGGGGGACAACAUUCCGAAAGGAAUGCUAAUACCGCAUACGCCCUACGGGGGAAAGCAGGGGAUCUUCGGACCUUGCGCUAAUAGAUGAGCCUAAGUCGGAUUAGCUAGUUGGUGGGGUAAAGGCCUACCAAGGCGACGAUCUGUAGCGGGUCUGAGAGGAUGAUCCGCCACACUGGGACUGAGACACGGCCCAGACUCCUACGGGAGGCAGCAGUGGGGAAUAUUGGACAAUGGGCGCAAGCCUGAUCCAGCCAUGCCGCGUGUGUGAAGAAGGCCUUUUGGUCGUAAAGCACUUUAAGCGAGGAGGAGGCUCCUUUAGUUAAUACCUAAAGAGAGUGGACGUUACUCGCAGAAUAAGCACCGGCUAACUCUGUGCCAGCAGCCGCAGUAA